ensembl:lncRNA
GUCGGUUGCUAAGCGACGACGUCAACGUCUUGGGCGGAAUAUUUCUUUGCUGAUCAACACUAUGAAUGCUGGUAACAAAUACAUUGUCGUCUUGGUGACCCACCAGACCCUAGACCCUCCAACCGGACAUCCUCCUCUGAGGCCGAGGCAGCCGCCGACUCCACCCCUGCCUCGACCACGCCCUGGCUGGUGAUGGUGUCUGGCUCCUCCCUCAGAGCAGCCCUCUCCAUGCUCCUGAUACAGCUAUCAAAGUUGAUCACAUGGGUAGCAUAAUUGUCGUGCACAUCUAUCUUACAUCGUCAUUACAUACUGAAAUACAGUAGGAGCUAUUCGGGUUGGCCUAUAGCCAGGCAGCUGUGGUUCACAGGAAGGUUCCUGCUCAACUUGACUUCAAAUAAAAGCAGCUAGCGGAGCUGGGACCCCUGCAACUGCUCCUGAAACUCCUGGAUGACUUCUGUCCACCUCAGACUGCCUGAACCAGGGGUCUUGUCACGUUCUGCUCUCCAGGUCAGCCCUGGGUCCAGCUCCUGUUUUAAAUCCUGCACCGUCUUCCAGGAGAGCCAGCGCCUCCUGUGCCCCUGCUUCCCCUGUGUCAGGGUCACGGUGGCAGGCAGCAGAGCCAGGGCUUCUGCAGCUCUGAGAAAUCCUCCAUCCUACCCGCAAUGGAGCAGGAUGGACUGUGCUAAUUAAUCGAUUAGUAUGUUCAAUUUGAACCUCAUUAUUUAAAAGUGUGAUGAAUACAAACUCUAGUCGAAAAGCAAUAGUUUCAAUGUGUAAUGUGCCGAUGCAAACAUUGGAUUGAAAGCUAGCAACAAUAGUCAAAUGGUUAAAUUAAACAAACAAAUUGUUAAAUGUAUUUCUUCAUUACUUCAUGAACAAACUAUUAGUGAAAUUGCCCCCUAUCUGGCCAGCCCUUGAAGGAAAACCUCUGGAUCUUUCUACCUGGAGCCUAUCUUCCCAUCAUUUUAAGUGUAAGGGACUAAUGCGGGCAACGAUUUUUUAAAUUGGUCCAGUAUUGCGCGAGAGCGCUGCCUCCGUAAUCCGCCAAAUGGGAUCCAAUGUAAUCCUUUGGGGUAAGAGCAGCCGUCAAUGUACGUUCUCUAAAAGGGCAUUUUUAGUUUUUUUUCCACUGACAGGCUCAGAUUAUAUUCUAACAUUAUGGAAACAAUCCCUGCAGAAAAAUAAAACGUGUUUCUUUACACUUCUCAUGAUCCGUUAUCGUUAUUGUGUCCCACCAAGUCGUUCUCAAGGAGAGCUGAGUUGAUGCAGGAAAAUAAAGGUGGAAUCGCGAGUGAGAGCUAGAGAGUGGAGAUAUUGUUAAGCCUAGUUAAGUGUUAUCUAAAGGGUUCGGUUGAAGGAGAGUGGAGAUUGUAAUGACAAUCAGGAAAUACCCAAGAGAAUACUGCUUGAGGGAGACUUGGUUGGACACAAUAACACACAGACCGGAUAUGGACACCAAUCAUUGAUGUGUGUCUUUGUAAAUGCUAUAAAUUG